rnacentral:rRNA from 1 species
CUGGUUGAUCCUGCCAGUAACAUAUGCUUGUCUUAAAGAUUAAGCCAUGCAUGUCUAAGUAUAAGCAAUUUAUACGGUGAAACUGCAGAUGGCUCAUUAAAUCAGUUAUAGUUUAUUUGAUGGUUCCCACCCCUUUUUUUGCCAGUAAUGGUGGAAAGAGGACUACAUGGAUAGCCGUAGUAAUUCUUGAGCUAAUACAUGCAUAGAGUCUUGGUGAGUCAAAUUACCAGGAUGCGUUUAUUAGAUACCCUUAAAACUGAAGGCCCCUAUGGUAGCAAUAUCAUAGGAAAUAAUGCUUUGGUGAGUCAUAAUAACUGAGUUCAGCGAAUCGCAGUGACUUUUCAUAGUCGGCGAUAGUUCAUUCAAAUUUCUGCCCUAUUAGCUUUCGAAGGCUGUGUAGUGGACAGCCUUGGCGUUGAUGGGUGACGAAGAACAAGGGUUCGGUUUCGGAGAGGGAGCCUGAGAAACGGCUACCACCUCUAAGGAGGGCAGCAGGCGCGUAAAUUACCCAAUGGGGAUACCCCGAGGUAGUGACGAGAAAUAACGAUACCGGAAACCUCCUUAUCAGAAAUGAUAUGUCGAGGUCUGGUAAUUGGAAUGAGCAUAAUUUAAAUCCCUUAGCGAACACCAUUGGAGGGCAAGUCUGGUGCCA